rnacentral:tmRNA from 1 species
GGGGGCGAUUUGGCUUCGACGUGGGUGAUGAAGCCCUAGGUGCAUGCCGAGGUGCAGUCAACCUCGUAAAAAGGCUGCAAAACCAAUAGUUGCCAACGACGACAACUACGCUCUGGCUGCUUGACGGCCAGCCUCUUACCGGGUCGCGCCUGUGCGCCCGGACCUUCGUGAAUUCGGGGGUAUCUAAGGGGUAACUUUACGCAGGCUCGCAAUGAUGUCUUGCCCGGGGCGGAUUUGCUAAAACUUCAGGGCUCGCCGUGCGUUUUCCCUGUCCCGUCGGGUGGCGAACGGUUAAAAAUAAAGGCGGACUAAGCAUGUAGGACCGAAGGCGGAGUGCUUGCGGACGCGGGUUCAAUUCCCGCCGCCUCCACCA